UGUGGGAUCUGCUGGUGAGAGAGC
rnacentral:piRNA from 1 species